rnacentral:rRNA from 1 species
UACGUAGGGUGCAAGCGUUAAUCGGAAUUACUGGGCGUAAAGCGUGCGCAGGCGGUUUUGUAAGUCUGACGUGAAAUCCCCGGGCUUAACCUGGGAAUUGCGUUGGAGACUGCAAGGCUGGAGUCUGGCAGAGGGGGGUAGAAUUCCACGUGUAGCAGUGAAAUGCGUAGAUAUGUGGAGGAAUACCGAUGGCGAAGGCAGCCCCCCUGGGAUAACACUGGACGCUGAGAAGCGAAAAGCAUGGG